rnacentral:miRNA from 1 species
GGCCUGAACCUUUCGCUCAACCUU